UACAGAGGGUGCGAGCGUUGUUCGGAAUUACUGGGCGUAAAGGGCUCGUAGGCGGCCAACUAAGUCAGACGUGAAAUCCCUCGGCUUAACCGGGGAACUGCGUCUGAUACUGGAUGGCUUGAGGUUGGGAGAGGGAUGCGGAAUUCCAGGUGUAGCGGUGAAAUGCGUAGAUAUCUGGAGGAACACCGGUGGCGAAGGCGGCAUCCUGGACCAAUUCUGACGCUGAGGAGCGAAAGCCAGGGGAGCAAACGGG
rnacentral:rRNA from 1 species